rnacentral:lncRNA from 1 species
GGGUUGUGGGAGUUGUGAUGUAGUGGGAUUUUGUUUCAAAUUAAAUUUAACUUUAUUUUUAAUUUUAUUUAAUUUUUCUCUCUCAGCUCAAACUUUUCUAACUUCCCCAUUUUUUUUUUGCUAUUCCUUUUCUUUUUCGUUUCCCUUCAAUUCUGCCCACAAUCUUUUCUUUUUUUCGUUGCAUUUCUGAUUUUUGGCGUUCUUUGUGCAAUU